ACAAGCGGUGGAUGAUGUGGUUAAUUCGAUGCAACGCGAAAACCUUACCACCUUGACAUGCACGGAAUCCUUAGAGAUAGAGGAGUGCUCGAAAGAGAACCGUAACACAGGUGCUGCAUGGCUGUCGUCAGCUCGUGUCGUGAGAUGUUGGGUUAAGUCCCGCAACGAGCGCAACCCUUGUCAUUAGUUGCUACAUUCAGUUGGGCACUCUAAUGAGACUGCCGGUGACAAACCGGAGGAAGGUGGGGAUGACGUCAAGUCCUCAUGGCCCUUAUAGGUGGGGCUACACACGUCAUACAAUGGAUGGUACAAAGGGUCGCCAACCCGCGAGGGGGAGCCAAUCCCAUAAAGCCAUUCGUAGUCCGGAUCGCAGUCUGCAACUCGACUGCGUGAAGUCGGAAUCGCUAGUAAUCGUGGAUCAGAAUGUCACGGUGAAUACGUUCCCGGGUCUU
rnacentral:rRNA from 1 species